rnacentral:rRNA from 1 species
GACGAACGCUGGCGGCGUGCUUAACACAUGCAAGUCGAACGGAAAGGCCCUGCUUUUGUGGGGUGCUCGUGAGGCGAAAGGGGGAGUAACACGUGAGUACCCUGCCCUUGACUUUGGGGUAACUUCAGGAAAAUGGGGCUAUAACCGCAUAGGAGCCCCUGGUGCAUGGCGGGGGUUGGAAAGUUUCGGCGGUUGGGGAUGGACUCGCGGCUUAUCAGCUUGUUGGUGGGGUAGUGGCUUACCAAGGCUUUGACGGGUAGCCGGCCUGAGAGGGUGACCGGCCACAUUGGGACUGAGACACGGCCCAGACUCCUACGGGAGGCAGCAGUGGGGAAUAUUGCACAAUGGGCGGAAGCCUGAUGCAGCAACGCCGCGUGCGGGAUGACGGCCUUCGGGUUGUAAACCGCUUUCGCCUGUGACGAAGCGUGAGUGACGGUAAUGGGUAAAGAAGCACCGGCUAACUACGUG